rnacentral:rRNA from 1 species
UACGCCGUAAACGAUGGAUACUAGCCUUCGGAGGUGUCGACCCCUUCGGUAGCGAAGCUAACGCGUUAAGUAUCCCGCCUGUGUAGUACGAGCGCAAGCUUAAAACAUAAAGGAAUUGACGGGGACCCGCACAAGCGGUGGAGCGUGUUCUUUAAUUCGAGGCUAAGCGAAGAACCUUACCAGGGCUUGAAAUCCUGCGAAGGUUUGUGAAAGCAGACUGUGCCUUUUAGGAACGCAGUGACAGGUGU